rnacentral:rRNA from 1 species
UGGGGAAUAUUGGACAAUGGACGCAAGUCUGAUCCAGCCAUGCCGCGUGAAUGAUGAAGGCCUUAGGGUUGUAAAGUUCUUUAGACGGGGAAAAUUAUGAUGGUACCCGUAGAAUAAGCACCGGCUAACUUCGUGCCAGCAGCCGCGGUAAUACGAAGGGUGCUAGCGUUGCUCGGAAUUACUGGGCGUAAAGGGUUCGUAGGCGGUCUAUUAAGCCAGUGGUGAAAUCCUGAGGCUCAACCUCAGAAUUGCCAUCGGGACUGGUAGGCUAGAGAAAGUUAGAGGAAAGUGGAAUUCCUAGUGUAGGAGUGAAAUCCGUAGAGAUUAGGAGGAAUAUCGAUGGCGAAGGCAGCUUUCUGGGACUUUUCUGACGCUGAGGAACGAAAGCGUGGGUAGCAAA